rnacentral:rRNA from 1 species
AUCGAGUGGCGAACGGGUGAGUAACGCGUGAGGAACCUGCCUCAAAGAGGGGGACAACAGUUGGAAACGACUGCUAAUACCGCAUAAGCCCACGGUGCCGCAUGGCACAGAGGGAAAAGGAGCAAUCCGCUUUGAGAUGGCCUCGCGUCCGAUUAGCUAGUUGGUGAGGUAACGGCCCACCAAGGCGACGAUCGGUAGCCGGACUGAGAGGUUGAACGGCCACAUUGGGACUGAGACACGGCCCAGACUCC